rnacentral:lncRNA from 1 species
CUGUACUUAAUUUAAACCGAAUAAAAAAUAUCGAUUGGAACCAAACCGAAUAUGUUUCAAAUUAAUUUUCAGAUUUCUUGAUUUUUUUUCUCACCUUUACCCACAUAAAUGUUAAAAAAGAGAAAAAAAAAAAAAAACCCUACGCUUAUAGCUAGUUUGCAUCAUAUACCUAUAUCCAACAGGGGACCCCACCCCCCACAUGAAUUUUUUAUGACUGAAAAUUCAAUAACGUGCACAAAACAAAAGCUUGGGAAUGACCUGGUAAGGG